GACGAACGCUGGCGGCGUGCUUAACACAUGCAAGUUGAGCGGAAAGGCCCCUUCGGGGGUACUCGAGCGGCGAACGGGUGAGUAACACGUGAGUAAUCUGCCCUUCACUCUGGGAUAGCCACCGGAAACGGUGAUUAAUACCGGAUACGACCAAUCCCUGCAUGGGGUGUUGGUGGAAACUUUUUUGGGUGGGGGAUGUGCUCGCGGCCUAUCAGCUUGUUGGUGGGGUAAUGGCCUACCAAGGCUUCGACGGGUAGCCGGCCUGAGAGGGUGACCGGCCACACUGGGACUGAGACACGGCCCAGACUCCUACGGGAGGCAGCAGUGGGGAAUAUUGGACAAUGGGCGGAAGCCUGAUCCAGCAACGCCGCGUGAGGGAUGACGGCCUUCGGGUUGUAAACCUCUUUCAGCACCGACGAAGCGCAAGUGACGGUAGGUGCAGAAGAAGGACCGGCCAACUACGUGCCAGCAGCCGCGGUAAGAC
rnacentral:rRNA from 1 species